rnacentral:rRNA from 1 species
GAUGAACGCUGGCGGCGUGCUUAACACAUGCAAGUCGAACGGAAAGGCUCCUGCUUGCUGGGGUACUCGAGUGGCGAACGGGUGAGUAACACGUGGGUGAUCUGCCCUGCACUUCGGGAUAAGCCUGGGAAACUGGGUCUAAUACCGGAUAGGACCACAUUUUGGAUGGUGUGGUGGAAAGUUUUUCGGUGUGGGAUGAGCUCGCGGCCUAUCAGCUUGUUGGUGGGGUAAUGGCCUACCAAGGCGUCGACGGGUAGCCGGCCUGAGAGGGUGUACGGCCACAUUGGGACUGAGAUACGGCCCAGACUCCUACGGGAGGCAGCAGUGGGGAAUAUUGCACAAUGGGCGCAAGCCGGAUGCAGCGACGCCGCGUGGGGGAUGACGGCCUUCGGGUUGUAAACUCCUUUCGCUAGGGACGAAGCGCAAGUGACGGUACCUGGAGAAGAAGCACCGGCUAACUACGUG